UACCUAACCUUUAAAGGAAGGAGUAGG
rnacentral:piRNA from 1 species